rnacentral:rRNA from 1 species
AAACCUCUUUUAUCAAGGAAGAAGAUCUGACGGUACUUGAUGAAUAAGCCACGGCUAAUUCCGUGCCAGCAGCCGCGGUAAUACGGGAGUGGCAAGCGUUAUCCGGAAUUAUUGGGCGUAAAGCGUCCGCAGGCGGCCUUUUAAGUCUGUUGUCAAAGCGUGGAGCUUAACUCCAUUUCGGCAAUGGAAACUGGGAGGCUUGAGUGUGGUAGGGGCAGAGGGAAUUCCCGGUGUAGCGGUGAAAUGCGUAGAUAUCGGGAAGAACACCAGUGGCGAAGGCGCUCUGCUGGGCCAUAACUGACGCUCAUGGACGAAAGCCAGGGGAGCGAAAGGGAUUAGAU